rnacentral:tRNA from 1 species
GUAGCCUAGUGGUCAUGGCAUCUGCCCGGUAAGCGGAAGGUCGUGGGUUCGAUUCCCUUGACA